rnacentral:rRNA from 1 species
GUGAACGCUGGCGGUAGGCCUCACACCUGCAAGUCGAACGGCAGCACAGUAAGAGCUUGCUCUUACGGGUGGCGAGUGGCGGACGGGUGAGGAAUACAUCGGAAUCUACUUUUUCGUGGGGGAUAACGUAGGGAAACUUACGCUAAUACCGCAUACGACCUACGGGUGAAAGCAGGGGAUCUUCGGACCUUGCGCGAUUGAAUGAGCCGAUGUCGGAUUAGCUAGUUGGCGGGGUAAAGGCCCACCAAGGCGACGAUCCGUAGCUGGUCUGAGAGGAUGAUCAGCCACACUGGAACUGAGACACGGUCCAGACUCCUACGGGAGGCAGCAGUGGGGAAUAUUGGACAAUGGGCGCAAGCCUGAUCCAGCCAUACCGCGUGGGUGAAGAAGGCCUGCGGGUUGUAAAGCCCUUUGUUGGGAAAGAAAAGCAGCAGGUUAAUACCCCGCUGUUCUGACGGUACCCAAAGAAUAAGCACCGGCUAACUUCGUG